GAAUCGUCAUAAACCCCGUGUAGACGACGGCCUGAAACACGAAUGCCCAGCUAAUCCAGUCCCUGCUGCUCAAUCCGCCCGCGCUGGGCACCACCGUCGAGCACAGCAAGCCCAGGAAGCCAAGCAGCGAUUCAAACAACAGAAUCAAGCAAAGCGCCACGCCUCGCAUCCCUCUCACCAAGCACGCGCUCCUCCUCAGCGCCGCAAACCCCCAUUUCGACUCCACAACGACGAUCACGAACGACAGGCACCACUCCACUUGCAGGUAAAUCAGCACACCCAAGAGCAGAGCAGUGAUCAAGGCAACAAAUCCCAAGAAAUACAAAUUGGUAUAGUCGAUUUCAACCCCAAUUAGGGCUAGGGCAUUAUACACCAUCAUGGUAAAACCCCCAAAUCCGAAAGCAAUUAACCCCAUAAUGAACUUGCUGAUAAUUAUGGUUCCAAUUAGGGGUAGAAACGAUAUGAGCACAUACUUAAUUGAGGAAAUAAACUUCACCGGCCUGCCGUAGAAGCCGUGGAAGGUGCUGUGGGUGAUUGAGGCGGUGGCGCAGAGGGAUAAGAAGGCGACGAAGAGGGCGUAGGCAGUUGCGAGGAUGAAGUGGGAUCUGGCGAUGGGUGGGAGGUCCGGCGAGGAGAAGAAGAAGAGGGAGCGGUGGUAGUGGGAGAGGGGCGAAGGGGAGUGAGAGAGGGAAGGGUAGACGACGAGAGAGAAGGAGAGGGGGAGGAGGAAGAGAACUGAGAGCGCCAAGAAAUGGCGGGAGUGAGCAUUGAUUAUGCGCUUGGUCUCGGAGAGCACUCCGCCGAGGUUUAGGCUGUGUGCUGACAUGGAUGCCGGAGGUGAAGUUUCAGGCUUUCUGUAGAGAGAGAGAGAGAGAAGAUGAUUCGAGAAGACGAUGAAGUCGAGAGAUGGCAGCGGAUAUGAACAAUUUCUGAGCUGAGUCCAACUUUCGUGCUAUCUUAUUGAUUAUUUUUUUCUUUCUUUUUUAUCGGUUUAUAUAUACAGCAGAGAACGCACGUAUUUUAAUGAAUAAAUUGUUAUGUGUGUAAAUUUAUACUCCAUUUUAUAGCAAUAUUUAUCAUUUUAAUGUAUUUUUUGAACUAAUUAUUGAUUAAUAUUUUAAAAGUAUAAUCUUAUAGAACUCAUAAAAUAAUAAUAAAAAUUUAAUUUUAUUUAAUUAAACAUCACCUAGUUUUGUCUUCAUAUUUAUUUUAUAGGUUUCAUCUUUACAUAAUUAAUUUAAUUCCAAAGAUUUUAGUAAAUUAAAAUUGUAAUUCUUUGUAUUUUUAAUUAUAAAUUAUUAAAAAUUAUAUAAUAAGAAAUAGUAACUUGUAUGAUGAAUAGUCCUAAUGGAUAGUACUUUAAUAAAAAUUGAGUUAAGUAUCAGAUUAGCCCUUAACGUGGAAGCCCAUAUGACAUUGAGCACCUUAUGGCAAGGGGGGUAUCAAAUAAACCCCUACGGUAAUAAAAAUCAAACAAAUAAACCCUAAACCCUAACGCCAACAUAAUGCCGUUUACUUAAUAUAUUUUUUUCCAUUUUUUAAUCCGUGGGUCCCACCAGAAAUAUUUGAGCGGGUGUUGGUAUUAGACAAGGCAUAUAUGAAUCGACGCUACUUCGUUUCUUCCUCAUUCGAACUCGAAAAUUCCAAACAUCAAUGAUUUAAUGAUGAUGAUUGCAGCUAUUCUUACAUUCUUGUAAACANGGCUGACAAAAAAAAUGAAAUAUUUGAAUUGAACGAAAAUACUAUUAAUAAGUUUGAAUUGAACGAUCAAGAAUUGAAGUUGUGAAAUAUAUGAGCAAGAGCAUGUGAAUGUGAACUAUAUUUUGCAUAAUGAAUGUGGAAAAACAUAUGUAAAACCAAGAGCUCAGCAUCUGUCUAUUGAAAACCAGUUCUACACAGUCAAAGGUGCUCAACAAGGCAACAUGCCUCUUGCCUGAAAUAUAAGGUGGCAAAAAUUCAGCGACGAGCGAUGAACACGUUAAACCUUGAUGAUGGUAAUGAAGUUUACUUAUUAGUUUCAUUUAUCAGAACUCUCACAAUCAAAUAUUGCCUUGCAAGUAUUAACAUCACAAACAUACCAUAAUAAGAUUGCAGUAGUUGAGUGAUAAACCCUGCAAACACACACACAAAUCCAACAGUAAAACCUCACUUAGUCUUCCUAUCUUCCACAAAGAUGAAUCCAUUGCCAUCUCAAGUCUAAGAAGCUUCAAAAAAGGCAAUCUCAUUCAAAAAGAUCAUUUUUUUUAUUAAGCACUGAGUAAAACCAGAGGCUUUAACUAUCACAAGUCUACAUCUCCUGUACAACCCACAACUACACAAGAUACACCUCUAACAGCAUAUGAGAAGCAUUGAAACAAGAUAUAGCAAGUCAUGAGCAGGAAAAUUCUACAAGGUUUAAGCUGCAAACCUCAGCUACACGACGUAGACAACGUGGGAAAGCUUCCCAUCAUCGAAAGGCAGCCGGAUAUACUCCUGCGCGAACUCCUCCGCAAUCUCAAAGGCAAGCUCCCCCUGCAAAGCCUUGCAAUACAUAUACAGCACAGCAGUAGCCGCCACACUGUAGAGCAUCAGAAUCGUCAUAAACCCCGUGUAGACGACGGCCUGAAACACGAAUGCCCAGCUAAUCCAGUCCCUGCUGCUCAAUCCGCCCGCGCUGGGCACCACCGUCGAGCACAGCAAGCCCAGGAAGCCAAGCAGCGAUUCAAACAACAGAAUCAAGCAAAGCGCCACGCCUCGCAUCCCUCUCACCAAGCACGCGCUCCUCCUCAGCGCCGCAAACCCCCAUUUCGACUCCACAACGACGAUCACGAACGACAGGCACCACUCCACUUGCAGGUAAAUCAGCACACCCAAGAGCAGAGCAGUGAUCAAGGCAACAAAUCCCAAGAAAUACAAAUUGGUAUAGUCGAUUUCAACCCCAAUUAGGGCUAGGGCAUUAUACACCAUCAUGGUAAAACCCCCAAA
rnacentral:lncRNA from 1 species